UCAAUCUCGAAAAUCCUAACUCUCUUAUUCCCUUUAUUCUCUUUUCGAUAGGCUACUUUCUCCCUCUAGCCUAGAUAAUCUUUCUCUUGCUAUUGUGCACUCUUGCUCUCUGGAUUACAUCGUCUUUAUAGAUCGUCUAUGUUUUGUCUGUCUCUGGUUAUCUCGAUAGGGCUGUCGUGCUGUCAAGUUAGGAUUUUCAGAGACGAGCUCCGAUUUCUAGGAGUGGAUUACGAGAAAAGAGAAUAGAUGUCUGGUUCUCUGAGUGUGAUGGUCUCUUUGGUGUCUAUCCGAAACCCUAGGUUUUCAAUUCCACUUUCCACAUUCUGGUUCGUAUUUGUUUUCAGUCGUCGCUACUUCUUCUUGAUUUUCAUUGUUUCAUUCGAUUUGGCGCGAAGAAAACUAACCUAAUUUCAUUGGUUGCAACUCCUGUCGUAAAAGUCGCAAAUUGGAAAGGCGAUUUCAACAGAACCGAUCCGGAUAAGUAGCUUUGAUUGUUGUUCUGCUGUAGGUUACUCGUGCUUAUUUUUUUACCUAACUCGUGUCUUAGGGUAAAGUAGAAGAAAUAAUCAGGGAUUCAAGAUUUCCUGUUCUAAUUUGUAAAAACUGUGAAGAUAACAAGUUGAUCUAAAAUUUAAGGCGUUAGAUAUUUGGAUUUAGGUGUAGUUAUUUCUUAAGUUAUUUUCUACUGCUAUAUAUUUGGUGUUAAAUUUGUUGUUAGAACUCAAAUUUGGUGCUAAUUUUUUGUUGGAACUCAAAUUUGUACUUUAAUUCAUUGUUUCUUCAAUUGUUGGCGCUCUUUUCAGACCUCGGUAGCUGCUCUCUAGGUGCUGGGCGCACGUGUGAUUAGAGGCAGCAUUGCCCCAGUUUUAGAAUGGAUCAUUUGCAUUUAUUCUUUAAGCUAGGCAAGAAAUGGAAUUUACGGGGAGAAUGAAAGGAUAGGAAGACUUGUGGUAAAGCUGCGAACGAGAAGUGAGUUUAUUAUUUAUAGAUUGUAUUUGUAGUUUCUCCCUCACCAUUUGUUAUCUUCGAUUUUGAUUUUCUUUUUAGAAGGGCAGGUGUUGUAGUUUUCUUUUGUUUAAUGAACUAUAAUGUAUUACUAGUUAUGUGAAUAUGUUAUUGAUAUAUGUUUUGUAUAUUAAAUAAAUAAAGAAAAAUGUCUUUUCUUAUAACUGACAAUCGUUUAAUAUCAUAAAGGCUCAAUACUAAAUAAGUCAUAUUAAUAAAGUUGAAGUUUAAAGAAAAAUAGGUUAGUAAUACCUUAAUGUUAGAAGUUAGGUCGUUAUAGUUGAAAUCUUUGAGGACCUAAUUAUCACUUUACUCGUUUUAAAAUUUCUUAGAGACUAAUAUGUUCUUGUAGAAAAACUAUGGGGACUUGUGUUUUUUUAACUCUGAAUGAGGACUUGUUUGCUCAUUAUUGAUUCAAUUCUUAAUUUUACAUGUUGCAAUAGGAGUAGCAAACGAGUCUGCUCGUCUUGCGCAACCAAAAGCCCACUAGCCCCGCCCCCCGUGCCGCUUAUUCUAACAAUCUUGAAAUAGCUCCCUACAAAUUAGGCAUGUCUGUCUUUUUUGGCGAGUUAAGCAGGUAAGCUCGACAGAUUGUAGCCUAUUUGCCACCACUAGUUAUUUUUUAUGGUGUUUUUUAACCUCAAGGCCUAUAAAGGUUAGAGGUUCGCUUGGUGAGUUUUUGUAUAACUUACAACUUUAGGCUCACUUCUUUUGUGUUAAUGUUACUAACAUCAUGAAGACAGUGUAUGAGAAUAGAAAACUCUUUCCUCAAAGGAUGGUGACACAACUUCAUAGUAGGUCUUGUCCUUGGACCUAUGGAACAAAGGAUGACUCUCUUGAAGUUGAGUUAAGGAUUGUGCAUCCUACUAAUGACCUAGCUCUAAAACUUGGGGAUCCACCCAGUCUAACCCGGCAGGGAACUCGGUUGGAAGUUUAAAAACCCCUAUCUUUGCCAUUAUUUUUGAAAACCUAUGAAAAAGAAAGAAUAAACUAACGACACAAUAAUCUAUGAUUUAACGCGAGUUCAAUAUGACUAACUGAGAAACUAUCCAUGAACACAAAUUGCUUCGUCAAUGGUGGAACGGUUUUUGGAAGGGGCACUGAUAACCCCCAAUUUUGUGGUUUAUCUUGUGCUUAAUUUAGGAGAUUUUAUUAAUUUUUCUCACAUUUAUUCAAUGAAAUAGCAUGGUUUUGUAAUUCUCCC